GAUGAAAUGCCUGAAAAAGGAUUAUCUUGAUAGGAUAAAUCAUGUAAAAUUUUUACUUUCAUCU
rnacentral:tRNA from 1 species